AUAACCUAGGAGAGAGUA
rnacentral:tRNA from 1 species